GGGCCGCACCUGCAGCAUAUGGAAGUUCCCAGGCUAGGGGUCAAGUUGGAGCUGCAGCUGAGGCCUACGCCACAGCCAUGGCAACACUGGGUCUGAGCCGCGUCUGCCACCUCCACCACAGCUUGCGGCGAUGCUGGAUCCUUAACCCACUGAACAAGGCCAGGGAUUGAACCCACAUCCUCACAGAAACAACCUCGGAUUCUUCACCUGUUGAGCCAUAAUGGGAACUCUCUCACCUCAUUUUUUGAAGUUCCAAGGCACACAGAAGGUCCUGCCAAGUGUCCCAGAAAAUAUGCCUUUGAAAGGGGCAGGGUGGCUGGCUGCGGUGUUGCAAUAAGGCAGCUCUUACACUCACUCGUCCAACGGGCCCCUCCCUCGGUUCCCAGGGUGGUUAUCUUGCUCGACCAUUAGCCUAUGUCCUCCGGAGCUGGAACUGGGUGGAAGCAGGGUGGAGAGAUGUGCGGGUCCUCGAACCCAGGUGGAACUUGGCAAAUCUUGCUGGGGUGGAAUUCUGGAUAAACACAGGGAAGCCAUGAAAUCCUGGGUGCACCAAAGUGUCCUGUCUGUGCUCCGAAUCUGGCUGCCGCUGCCGCCGAAGCGGGCCCGGUUCCAGCUUUGAGUCACUGCUGCCUCCCCAGGGCUUCGAGGCACACGGACACUCUUUUGCAAUCUUUAAACAUGAUCACCACCCUGCCCCCAUUUCUCCAUGCCCACAGCUUGCUCACUCCCAGGCUCAGGUCCUGUGCAAGGUCCUGAGCACAGGGACUGGCAUCUAAUAAGCAUUCCCUAAAAGCCAGUGGCUAAUGCAAUUGCCACUGCUUCCAGGAUCCCUCCCUGACGCCUGCCUUUUGUUUGUGGGUCUCCCAUGGGGAGUAUCUCGACCUCUCUUUUGGAGCCUUCUGGAGUGUCUGGAGUGCAUGAAGUAGACAUCAGGUACCGUGGGUUCAAGGUGGGCUCCUGCUGUUUCCUUGUAGGACUGACCUCGCCCAACAGCAGUGACAAUGCUGCAUCCUUAACCCACUGAGCCACCAGGGAACUCCAAAACCCCACCAGGGAACUCCAAAACCCACAUUUUUCCAAAACGUGAAAAAACUUUGCCUUAAGUUGACUUAAGCUAAAAGAGAACUUGGAAGCCCAUGUGACCAAAAGCUGCAGGGACAGAGCUGGGUGCAGGCCUGGCAGGGGGUCAGGAGUCAUCUGGUGUCGCCGGAACUGGCUUCCAUCCACCUGACAUGCCAGCUCCCCAGGGGACAUGAUGGCUGUGGCAGCUCCAGCCCUAAAUCCCCCCCAGAGUGGGUCCAACGGGAGUCAGUCUGAGUCCCCAGCUGGGCACCUCCAAGCCAUGGCUGGGGUCGCAUCGGCCUGGGUCAUCGGACCGGUCAUCCACCCACCCCAAUCUGGUCCCUGCGGCACAGGCAUGAAUCUGCUGCCGACCCAGACCCGGAACUAGGGUGGGCAGGGACGUGGGGAAGUCUCUGAGGGUGAGGGAAGAGCCGUCCUGCCCAGCACAGAGCCCGUGGCCAAAUGACAAUGCUACUAGCUGCUGAAAUACACGUGCUACUCACCCAGGCCUUGCCCUCGGCUUGAACGCACUGGCUUUCCACCUCGGCGCUCGGAGACGUGUG
rnacentral:lncRNA from 1 species